UACGUAGGUGGCAAGCGUUGUCCGGAAUUAUUGGGCGUAAAGCGCGCGCAGGCGGUCCUUUAAGUCUGAUGUGAAAGCCCACGGCUCAACCGUGGAAGGUCAUUGGAAACUGGAGGACUUGAGUACAGAAGAGGAAAGCGGAAUUCCACGUGUAGCGGUGAAAUGCGUAGAGAUGUGGAGGAACACCAGUGGCGAAGGCGGCUUUCUGGUCUGUAACUGACGCUGAGGCGCGAAAGCGUGGGGAGCGAACAGG
rnacentral:rRNA from 1 species